rnacentral:rRNA from 1 species
CCUACGGGUGGCAGCAGUAGGGAAUUUUCGGCAAUGGGGGGAACCCUGACCGAGCAACGCCGCGUGAACGAAGAAGUUAUUCGUAAUGUAAAGUUCUUUUUACAGGGAAGAAAGAUAAAUUUGACGUUACCUGAAGAAUAAGCCCCGGCUAACUACGUGCCAGCAGCCGCGGUAAUACGUAGGGAGCGAGCGUUGUCCGGAAUUAUUGGGCGAAAAGGGUGCGUAGAUGGCAUAGGAAGUAUUUUGUAAAAAUGCUGGGCUCAACCCAGUAGGGCAAAAGAUACUGCAAAGCUAGAGUAUGACAGAGGCAAGUGGAACGACAGGUGUAGCGGUAAAAUGCGUAAAUAUAAGGAAGAACACCAGUGGCGAAGGCGGCUUGCUGGGU